UGGAGGGACAUACUUGAACCAGAUCCAAGUCACAGUGACCGGCUGGAAGUUAAAGUUGGGGAUUAUAAUCUCACCCAUGUGUAGGCAGCGCACACACGGUGAAAACUGCAGAGAUGUUCUUAAAACAACAGGUCAGAGAACAUGGCAGAGAAAUGAGGAAGAGGGAAGGAAGCUGGUUUCUACCUGAAGAGGUGAUUGGUCACUUCCUCUUCCCUGGUUACCUUUCUUGCUCGUUCUGUGCAUUGCAGGGAUUUGGUGUAGCUGCCCUGUCAUGGGAGGGGUGCCCACACAGCAGGGACAUGGGCGCAGGCCUUGGGAGAAGCUGGGGCGUGCUUUGCGAGGCUGCAGAUGUGGGACCCCAUGCUCUCCUUUCCUCAUCCCAUCUACAACUUCACAUUUUCUUUUUUUUUUUUUUUUUUUUUUUUGGUUUUUCUCUGGUACCGGGAACUGAACUCAUGACCUUGCGCUUGCCAGGCAAGUGCUUUUGCCACUGAGCUAAAUCCCCAGCCCUAAGUUUACAUUUUCUGUCCCUGCAGCCCCUGGGCCAGCUUCACAGUCACCCACUUUUGACACCUGCGUCCAGACACGCUGUAUGGUGUGUGGCACAGCUGCUGAGGCCAGAUGCCUGCUCGGUGGGCCUCGCUGGAAGAUGCUGCUGAACUCUACGUCCUGAUUGGCACCCAUAAAUUCUGUGAUGAAUCAUCGUUCACUCUGACCUUGGCCCUCUAGGUAAUCCCCCAAGACACCCAAUUCAGCCUUUCCUGAGACUUCUCUGCCUCUGCCCUCCAUUUUCUCCCCUAACCAGGUCAU
rnacentral:lncRNA from 1 species